rnacentral:rRNA from 1 species
UACGUAGGGCGCAAGCGUUAUCCGGAAUUAUUGGGCGUAAAGAGCUCGUAGGCGGUUUGUCGCGUCUGCCGUGAAAGUCCGGGGCUCAACUCCGGAUCUGCGGUGGGUACGGGCAGACUAGAGUGAUGUAGGGGAGACUGGAAUUCCUGGUGUAGCGGUGCAAUGCGCAGAUAUCAGGAGGAACACCGAUGGCGAAGGCAGGUCUCUGGGCAUUAACUGACGCUGAGGAGCGAAAGCAUGGGGAGCGAACAGG